UACAGGGGAUCAACUGGCCAUAGGUAAGGAAACUGGACGGCGUUUGGGAAUGGGAACCAACAUGUAUCCUUCAUCUGCGUUGCUAGGACAAGACAAGGAUGAGUCUUUUGCUGCUUUGCCAAUUGAUGAACUGAUUGAAAAAGCUGAUGGCUUUGCUGGUGUUUUCCCUGAGCACAAAUAUGAGAUAGUAAAACGCUUGCAAGCUAGAAAACACAUCUGUGGGAUGACUGGUGAUGGAGUCAAUGAUGCUCCUGCUCUUAAGAAGGCUGACAUUGGGAUUGCUGUUGCUGAUGCGACUGAUGCAGCUCGUAGUGCUUCAGAUAUUGUCCUUACGGAACCUGGCCUUAGUGUUAUCAUUAGUGCUGUCUUGACAAGUCGAGCAAUUUUCCAGAGGAUGAAAAAUUACACUAUCUAUGCAGUUUCCAUUACAAUUCGUAUUGUGCUUGGUUUCAUGCUGCUGGCUCUGAUAUGGAAGUUUGACUUUCCACCUUUUAUGGUGCUUAUUAUUGCUAUUCUUAAUGAUGGUACCAUUAUGACAAUAUCCAAGGAUAGGGUGAAACCGUCUCCUCUGCCAGACAGCUGGAAGCUGGCAGAGAUUUUUACUACUGGCAUUGUUCUUGGUAGUUAUCUGGCAAUGAUGACGGUCAUCUUCUUUUGGGCAGCAUAUAAGACAGACUUCUUCCCAAGGGUAUUUGGAGUAUCAACUCUGGAGAAAACAGCUCAUGAUGACUUCAGAAAGCUUGCAUCAGCAAUUUACUUGCAAGUGAGCACUAUCAGUCAGGCCCUAAUUUUUGUGACGAGAUCGCGAAGUUGGUCUUAUGUUGAACGCCCUGGAUUACUACUCGUGGUGGCUUUUUUGGUUGCUCAGCUGGUUGCCACUUUGAUUGCAGUCUACGCAAAUUGGAGUUUUGCUGCAAUUGAAGGGAUUGGUUGGGGCUGGGCUGGUGUGAUCUGGCUUUAUAACAUCAUCUUUUAUAUUCCACUUGACUUCAUCAAGUUCUUUAUACGCUAUGCUUUGAGUGGUAGGGCCUGGGAUCUUGUUAUUGAGCAAAGGAUUGCUUUCACAAGGCAAAAGGAUUUCGGGAAGGAACAACGGGAGCUUCAGUGGGCACAUGCACAAAGGACAUUGCAUGGUUUGCAACCACCAGACACCAAGAUGUUCACAGAGCGAACCCAUUUCACUGAACUCAAUCAGAUGGCUGAAGAAGCUAAAAGGAGAGCUGAAAUUGCAAGAUUGAGGGAGCUUCAUACGCUUAAGGGUCAUGUAGAAUCAGUGAUUAGAUUGAAGGGCAUAGACAUAGACACAAUUCAACAAGCAUAUACAGUCUGAAGAUCUAAUUGUUGUACAAGAACAAUAAAUGAAGCAUUUACGUCUUCCUAGAAUAGAGACCCGUAAGCAGCAGUCUCCUACUAGUUAUCUUGGAGCAACAAUGCUCUACAACGUUUCAUGAGCUCCACCAUUUAUGGUGUCAUACUCAUUUUUUUCUUGUCAGUUGUUCUCUAAUCUCUCUCUCUCUUACCUUUUAAUGCCCACGAGAGGGGAAAGCUCAUCUUUUUUGCCAUUUGUGUCAAUAUUAGUAAGGUUAUGGUUCGUUGGUCCUUUUCUUCAUGUAGCGUGGUACUCGAUAUAGUUAGAGUACGGAACCUUUUCAACUUUUUAUAAUUCAGUGAUAAAAUUUCUGUUUUCAGUUCCCAUCAAUUGUUUCAAAGUGGUAUCUAUUUUAACCAAUUUGGUAUACUAUGUUGCUAAGUCUUGGGUUGAAGAAUCUUGAAAAGUUGAAAAUCUUGUUAGAUUAUGCAGGUUGUAAUCAAUACGGUGUGUGCUAUAUGAAUCUCA
rnacentral:misc_RNA from 1 species